rnacentral:lncRNA from 1 species
UUUUUUUUUUCCUUUUUUUUUUUUUUAAAGAUAUUUCCUUUGGAGUUCCCAUCAUGGCACAGUGGAAAAGAAUCCGACUAGGAACCAUGAGGUUUCGGGUUCGAUCCCUGGCCUCACUCAGUGGGUUAAGGAUCCAGUGUUACCGUGAGCUGUGGUGUAGGUCGCAGACGUGGCUCAGAUCUGGUGUUGCUGUGGCUCUGGCGUAGGCCGGCAGCAACAGCUGCGAUUGGACCCUAGCCUGGGAACCUCCGUCUGCCGCAGGUGCAGCCCUAAAAAGACAAAAGGGAAAAAAAAAUACACACACACACACUAUGAACUGAUAAGUAAAAGUUCUAUAAAAACUAAACAUAGAAAAAAAUAGAAGUAGUUUAGCAAAUUUAGGUAUUUAAAAAAUUAAUCAAAAAUGACAAAAGGAUCACUCAUGCUAAACACAGUAAUAAUACAGAGUAACUUAAAGAGGAGGAGAUGGAGGAGGGAAUCAUGUGGAGUUAUUUUUAAAGCAGUAUAAUAUAUGCAAAGUUGGAGUUCCCGUGGUGGCUCAGCAGAAACGAAUCUGUCUAGUAACUCACUGUGAGUUAAGGAUCUGGAGUUGCCAUGAGCUUGCUGUAGGUCACAAACACAGCUUGGAUCUGGUAUUGCUGUGGCUGUGGCAUAAGCCAGUGGCUAUGCUCCGGUUCAACCCCUAGCCUGGGAAUUUCCAUAUGCCAUGGGUGUGGCCCUAAAAAGACAAAAAAAAAAAAAAAAAAGCAAAGUUAAGAAAUGAUCUUUUAUACUCAGCAUUAGACAGACAUCUACAAACUUGUAGGAUACAUUCCUUUCUUGUUUUAAAGGGUGUUCUAUUCAAUGUUCUUUGAUAAUCUACACGGAAAAAAAAGAAGAGAUAUAUGUUUAUGUAUGUAUAAUCAUUUUGCUGUAAACGUGAACCUAAUACAAUAUUGUAAAUCAACUAUACCUCAAUAAAAUUUAAAAAUAAAUAAAUAUACUCUAAAAAACAAAGAAAGAAACUACAAGAAUCCACACUGAUGGCAGGAAAACGAUCAACUGGAAAUGUUAAAGGAACCUGGGAUGUCUGAUCUGGGAAAGAAAAAAAGAGAUCUCACACUCCAAAGAUUGUUGGAUAUAUUACAAGUUUUUUAAUGAGGAAAAUGCUGAGUAACUGCAAAAACAGACUCAAAUGUCAAGUCAUUAGCAAACAUGGUCUCUGAACAGGAACACAGUGGACCACAAGUUCCCAAAACUCUCACAUUAGCUCUUAGUAUUGCCUUUAGCUGCAGGGAGACAGGCAAGAUUUUACAAAAUUAGAUCACAGGUGCAAACAGGCACACUUUUGUUUAAAAAGCAAAUCACCUAAAUAGUCAGUACACAUAGGGCUGAGGGCAUUAAGAUUUUAAAAAAAAAUCAUUCCCCAGUAGAAAUCAAUACAUAAUGGAUGAGAUGGCUUGCAAUCAGGGUGCUCAAAGGGCUAGGGCAUCUCACAAACCAUAUCUAAAAUCAAAUCAAGGCAACUAGGAAAAAACAAGGCUGUAAUAUAAAGUUAUCUAGAGAAGACUACACUCAAUUCUAGCCCAUUUCCUGAUGUUAGGUAAGAAUGACAGCUGGAAAGUGACUUUUAUAGUAUUAUUGUUAUAAUUAAAAAGCAGGAGUUCCCACUGUGGGAGGGUGGGUUAAGAACCCAACUGCAGCAGCAUGGGUUGCUGUGGAGGCCUGAGUUUGAUCCCCAACCCAGCACAGUGGGUUUAAGGAUCCAGUGUUACUGCAGCUGCAGGGUAGGUAGCAGCUGCCGCUCAGGUUCAAUUCCUGGCUUGGGAACUUCAAUAUGCCAUGGGUAGUGCCAAUAAAUAAAUAAAUAAAUAUUAAAAGAAAAUAGCAAAUUAGGGUGUCUAUAAAGAGAAGAAUAGACAAAAUGGUGGUACAGUCACACAAUGGAAACUACUUUAAAAUACAUAAUAAUAAAAAGGAACAAACUACCAAGAUACAUUACAGAGUCAAGGAAGCCUUACACAGAGUGCAAAAUAUGAUUCCAUUUACAUGACUUCCAAAUCAGGCAAAACUAAUCUACAGUCAGAAAAGAAUUAUUCCUGGGAAAAGAAGAGGAGCAGCAGAAUGACUAGAAAGAAACAUUCGAGGACUUUCCACAGUGAAAGGACCUUAUAAUACAGUAUAGUGUGAGGUUUACCUUGAUAUAGGUUUGGGUUACACAGGUAAAUACCUUUGUCAAAACUCACCAAACUAAGUAUACUUAAGAUUUUUGUGUUUUUUACUUUACACUGUACUUCAAAAUUUUUUACAACCUUAUACUUCGGAGUUCCUACUGUGGCUCAACUGUGCAGUACCAAGACACAGGUUCAAUCCGUGGCCUGGGACAGAGGCUUAAAGGAUCUGAAGCUGCAGCACAGGUAGCAACUGCAACUCUGAUCUGAUCCCUGGCCUGGGAACUCCAUAUGCCACAGGAAAGCCAAAAAAGAAAAAAAAGGGGGGGGGGAGUUCCCCAUCGUGCCUUGAGGGAAACGAAUCUGACUAGGAACCAUGAGGACGAAGGUUCCAUCUCUGGUCUCACUCAGUGGGUUAAGGAUCCACCAUUGCCGUGAGCUGUGGUGUAGGUCGCAGACACAGCUCAGAUCUGGCAUUGCUGUGGCUAUGGCACAGGCUGGCAGCUAUAGCUCCGAUUCGACCCCUAGCCUGGGAAC